GGAGUUUGAGGUUGCAGCAAGCUAUGAUUACACCAUUGCACUCCAGUCUGGGUGACUGAGUGAGACUCCAUCUCUAAAAUAAAAUAAUGAAAGAACUUUUUUUUUUGAGAUGGAGUUUCACUCUGUCAUCCAGACUGGAGUGUGGUGGUGUAAUCUUGGCUCAUUGCCACCUCCACCUCC
rnacentral:pre_miRNA from 1 species